AGAGAGUGAUUCUGCUACAGACUACUCAGAAAUGAGAACUGAAGAUGUCCGUUAUGGAGAAAUCAUCAUCAAAGACAAGAAGAUAAAGAGAACAGAGAUCAAUACAGUGGCGGUCUACUCCUCAGUGAAAACUAAAGACAUCAGUUAUGCUUAAGUAGCCAUCAGCAUCAGCCCAAAGAGGACCAGAGGUGCUUCUCCAUGAUUGGUGCAUCCAGGGUGGACGGAUUGUACCGAUUGGCUAAUGACCGGGAGGCAGCACAUAAGAAGACUCCGCCAGGGACUGCCAUUUCAUUCAUCCUCGGCUGACUCCGUGUGUUCACUGUUAGCAAUGUUUUUUUUUAAUGUAGGAGCAUGUAGGGGUGGACCGCCUUUUUGUUUGAUUACAGUUUUCUCCUGUUUUUUUUUUAAGUAGGGAGGUAAGUUAUUGUUGUUUGGUUUAAUUCUUUUGAGUAGGUAAGUUUGAUUUGUCUCUGAGAUAGGCUCUCUUUUGUUUGUUGUUUUGGCCUUGGGUUUACCCCGAAGUUAUAAUUC